CCUACGGGUGGCAGCAGUGAGGAAUAUUGGUCAAUGGCCGGAAGGCUGAACCAGCCAUGCCGCGUGAAGGUCAGUGCCCUAUGGGCGUUAAACUUCUUUUGUGCGGGAGCAAUAAUGGUCACGUGUGGCCAGACGAGAGUACCGUACGAAUAAGCAUCGGCUAACUCCGUGCCAGCAGCCGCGGUAAUACGGGGGAUGCAAGCGUUAUCCGGAUUUAUUGGGUUUAAAGGGGGCGUAGGCUGUGAGGUAAGUCAGCGGUGAAAUGCCCCCGCUCAACGGGGUGAAGUGCCAUUGAUACUGCCUUGCUGGAAUGCGGAUGCCGUGGGAGGAAUGUGUGGUGUAGCGGUGAAAUGCAUAGAUAUCACACAGAACACCGAUUGCGAAGGCAGCUCACGAAUCCGCGAUUGACGCUGAUGCGCGAAAGCGUGGGGAGCAAACAGGAUUAGAUACCCGGGUAGUC
rnacentral:rRNA from 1 species